rnacentral:rRNA from 1 species
AGGACGAACGCUGGCGGCGUGCUUAACACAUGCAAGUCGAACGAGGAACAUAGAGCUUGCUCUUUGUAACCGAGUGGCGAACGGGUGAGUAACUCGUGACUAACCUGCCUUCGAGAGGGGGAUAACCUGGGGAAACCCGGACUAAUACCGCAUAUAGUCCAAGAGUCUUAUGUCUCAUGGAUAAAAGAGAGCCUCUGCUUGCAUGCUCUCACUCGAAGAGGGGGUCGCGGCGUAUCAGCUAGUUGGUGGGGUAAUGGCCUACCAAGGCGACGACGCGUAGCGGGUCUGAGAGGACGAUCCGUCACAUUGGGACUGAGAUACGGCCCAGACUCCUACGGGAGGCAGCAGUGGGGAAUAUUGCGCAAUGGCCGAAAGGCUGACGCAGCGACGCCGCGUGUGGGAGGAAGCCUUUCGGGGUGUAAACCACUGUCUGGGGGGAAGAACUUCGUGGGUGUUAAUAACACCUACGGUUGACGGUACCCCUAGAGGAAGCGCCGGCUAACUCCGUGCCAGCAGCCGCGGUAAGACGGAGGGCGCAAGCGUUGUUCGGAAUUACUGGGCGUAAAGGGCGGGCAGGCGGUCUGUUAAGUCUUUUGUGAAAAUCCGGAGCUCAACUCCGUGAAAUGCAGAAGAUACUGGCAGGCUGGAGACCGGUAGAGGCUAGCGGAAUUCCUGGUGUAGCGGUGGAAUGCGUAGAUAUCAGGAAGAACACCUGUGGCGAAGGCGGCUAGCUGGGCCGGGUCUGACGCUGAUCCGCGAAAGCGUGGGUAGCAAACAGGAUUAGAUACCCUGGUAGUCCACGCCGUAAACGAUGGGCACUAGAUGCCGGGUAUAUAGACGUAUUCGGUGUCGUAGCUAACGCAUUAAGUGCCCCGCCUGGGGAGUACGG